GGAAGAAUUCCAAAAUUCAUGUAAACUAGAGAAGAUCAUUCGAAUUCCUUGGAUUUGCGAGUGCGGAAGAUUGAACGGCAAAACACUCAUGUGCGAUGAAGGAAUAUUAAUUGUGAAUGGUUUUACAAUAGACCUGACCCUCCUCAACUUUCUAGGCGUUUAAAACUCCUUCAGCUUACGUGUUUCUCCUACGCUGGAAGCCUCGAAGCCGAACAAUGGCAGACGAACUUUUGAGCUCUCCAGACCAGAUUACGUGGCACUGAUCGCAAAUCUCUUUCAAGAUGUGAAGGUCGACCGACACUUAAAUGUCAGUGCCAUGAGAAAAUAGAAGUGCAUCAUGAAGCUUUGCAUAAAAACUGCAUUUUAGUGUUUUCGUUGACGUCUCUUGUUCAGGCUUCCAAAAAGCACUUGCCUCUCGUCCCACGCACUCUGUUGAAAAAACUGAAGGCGCAGAAUGAACUAACAUCGUCCAAACCCUCACAUUCUGCUUGGUUAGACAUGCGCUUUUAACUUCAAAAGAGGAAAAAGUACCCUCGUUCAUGACGGAAGAAGCCAAGGGUUGAAGUGAAAGUGAAAUUUAAAAAAAAUUCUAUUAUCAAGACUAUUUUUCACACCUACACAAAUUUCAAGAUGAAUCGCUCCAGUUACUUAGUGAGAGUAAAUAUUAGUCUGAUGACUCCAUGCAGACUGGCCAAACAUCGGAAUAAGAAAUUAUCUGGGAAAUGAUCACGUAUGCAGAUAUGGUCAAGUUUAAUUGCGCACUUCGACGAAUCGGAAAAGCCUAUUAAGGAGAGUAAACUGUUUAUGUAACUGCUGCUGUGCAGAGUGCACCUGUAUUUAACCCCCCACGAAUUUAUGUUCAGAGUAAAGCGGUAGAGGAAAAAAGAGAAUUUUUUAACAAGAGAAAGAGAAGAUUUCAUCGAUUUAACAGCAAGGAGUAUUUGUGGCUCAUAAAGUAAAAGCAUGUCAAAUAUUUUUUUACGUUCUUUAGAAAAUAGACUAUACAUUUUUUAUUGCAUUCGACAACAAAUCUCAGGGUGGCCGUCUUAAUCGAGGAAAACCAGUAUUUUCGUUAUUUAAUGAUUUAUGAUAAAAUUGUUUUUUGUUUUUAAAUUUCCCCUCCAACUCGGUACAAAAUUAAAAUGUUCCUCCCCUUCAUCUGAAUGUCAAAAAUACCAAAUGACUGUUCAAUAACAAUGUUCAAAAGAAAAAAAAUUGGCUCCAAUUUAUGAAAAUAACCAAAAUUUCCUCCCAUCCAGAUCAAUAAAAAUGUUCAAACUAAAAGAAGAGUGCAUCUUCCAGUUUAGAAAAAACAUAAAA